UCUGUGACACAUUUAUGAGAACUUUCCUUCUUUGAAGUACCUAGAUUUUGCUUUAGGAUAUAUCCCAAUAAAAGAGUGAAGCAGUCUGAUCCCUAAACUGCUUUCUAGACAGCAGGGAGUAAAGCUUUUAUUGCUGAGCAUGAUGCCAUUUGGUGUGUGAUAUCCCUGGAAUGAAGCCUGUCUGCAUAAAUGGAAGUACUGAACCAUGAUCCUAAAACAAUGUAAUUCUCCUAAGGGAAAGAAAGGUCACAUCUGUAGCCUCUUCAGCAAACCAGGUGGAGCCAGGAAAUCCUAUUAAAACAUAAGAAGAAAAAAAACCCAAACAACCCUGGUCAAAUACUGGCAGGGCUUUCUCAGUAAGGUUUUGGGAUCUCCCUCCUUGGAUAUAUUCAUAGCCUGAAUGGACAUGGUGCUGAUCAACCUGCUCUGGAUGAUCAACUUCUCGCUAACAGGAUUUGACUGGAUAAUCUCCAGAGAUCCCUUCCAAUCUCAACCAUUGUGUGUUUCUGUAGCAGAAAACAAACUCUUGUGGGCAAGCUCUUGUUUGCUGCAAGGUAGUAGAAAAGACAUGAAAUGAAAGAAGAGAACACAUCAGUGAUCCUCUGCUGGGCUAAGAAUCAGGUGAGAGUGCAUCUGGUACCCAAGGAAAUAUUUCCUGUAUGCUUCCUGAGUGCUUCCCUUGAGUAUCCUGUUGAUAAAGCGAACUCACUUGCUACAAGAGAUUUUGGUAAAGGCACGAACCCACAAAUCUGUUUGUUUCUAGAACUGAUUUCAU